UACGUAGGGACCAAGCGUUGUUCGGAUUUACUGGGCGUAAAGGGCGCGUAGGCGGCGCGGUAAGUCACUUGUGAAAUCUCUGAGCUUAACUCAGAACGGCCAAGUGAUACUGCAGUGCUAGAGUGUGGAAGGGGCAAUCGGAAUUCUUGGUGUAGCGGUGAAAUGCGUAGAUAUCAGGAGGAACACCGGUGGCGAAGGCGGGACUCUGGGCCGAUACUGACGCUGAGGAGCGAGAGCGUGGGGAGCAAACAGG
rnacentral:rRNA from 1 species